rnacentral:misc_RNA from 1 species
CAAGAAGCGCCGAAAGGCUACUUUACAAACCAUAGCGAACCCGAUCCUUCAGCGUUGCUUCGGCGGGUAGCUCGGCUCCCCCUCGGGGGCCGGGCCGGCUGCCCGGCCCCCGCCGGAGGUCACGAAACUCUAUGUAUUAACAGCUAGAAUCUCUGAGUAUAAACACAAAUAAGUCA